CGCGGGUUGUUGUAGGGGAAACAUAAUUGGCUCAUGACCAGUCGAGAGAGGUUCGAGUCCUUUAUCCGCAU
rnacentral:tRNA from 1 species